AGGGCACCACCAGGAGUGGAGCCUGCGGCUUAAUUUGACUCAACACGGGGAAACUCACCCGGCCCGGACACCGGAAGGAUUGACAGAUUGAUAGCUCUUUCUUGAUUCGGUGGAUGGUGGUGCAUGGCCGUUCUUAGUUGGUGGAGCGAUCUGUCUGGUUAAUUCCGAUAACGAACGAGACUCUAGCCUAUUAAAUAGACGUCGGGUUCUCUGCACUCGACGGUCUUCUUAGAGGGACAAGGUGCUUUUAGCACCGCGAAACAGAGCAAUAACAGGUCUGUGAUGCCCUUAGAUGUCCGGGGCCGCACGCGCGCUACACUGAAGGAAGCAGCGUGUAACAACCUUGUUCUAACGAACUGGGUAACCCGUGGAACUUCCUUCAUGAUUGGGAUAGGGGUUUGCAAUUUUGCCCCUUGAACGAGGAAUUCCCAGUAAACACUAGUCAUCAGCUAGUGCUGAUUACGUCCCUGCCCUUUGUACACACCGCCCGUCGCUACUACCGAUUGAAUGGUUUACUGA
rnacentral:rRNA from 1 species